rnacentral:rRNA from 1 species
UGGGGAAUAUUGCACAAUGGGCGCAAGCCUGAUGCAGCCAUGCCGCGUGUAUGAAGAAGGCCUUCAGGUUGUAAAGUACUUUCAGCGGGGAGGAAGGGAGUAAAGUUAAUACCUUUGCUCAUUGACGUUACCCGCAGAAGAAGCACCGGCUAACUCCGUGCCAGCAGCCGCGGUAAUACGGAGGGUGCAAGCGUUAAUCGGAAUUACUGGGCGUAAAGCGCACGCAGGCGGUUUGUUAAGUCAGAUGUGAAAUCCCCGGGCUCAACCUGGGAACUGCAUCUGAUACUGGCAAGCUUGAGUCUCGUAGAGGGGGGUAGAAUUCCAGGUGUAGCGGUGAAAUGCGUAGAGAUCUGGAGGAAUACCGGUGGCGAAGGCGGCCCCCUGGACGAAGACUGACGCUCAGGUGCGAAAGCGUGGGGAGCAAACA